AAGGCACAAAAUGUGCUCCAUACUGGAUAGAAUGAUAAUAAUUACAACCUUUAUUUAAUCAGUGUUUAUAAGAAGUUGUAGUAUAUGAUUGCCAAUGAGACAACUCUCCUUCUAAGUCACAUUUUGUUUUUAAAAGUAAACCAUUAUAAGUCAAAGUACAGUCUUCAACAUGGAGCCUUGGCUCACACAGAACAACAAGCUAUAAACCCCAAAAAUAGUUAGUGUAAAACCAUUCAAACAGGAAAACCAACGGUUUAAUCUAUGUAAAAAAAACAGCAAAGAGAAACACUUAUGAACCACAUCAACAAACGACAACCACAGAAUAUCAGUUUCCUUAAUUAGGACAGUUGCAAAGAAAAGCAGCGAUUAGCACUUUUUAUCUGAUGCCAACAUUCACCCUAACCCGAGACAGUGGUGUAACAAUACGACACAAAAGGACAGACUAUAAAACAUUUAUUAUACAUACAUUGUAUUAGACUAGUUUGCAUUGUAAAUAAUCAUAAUCUUUAUUUAGAACCCAUUCAUAUACAAAAAAGUACAACAUAUACAGCUCAUCAGUGAUUUUAAAACCGACUAUUCUACACAUAAAUUAAAAUAAAAUACAUGAGAACUGUCAUCAUUAUCAUGCACAAUACAAUAAACAUUUACAUUUUAAAUAAAAUUGAGAAUGGAAAUGGGGAAUAUGACAAAGAGACAACAACCUGACCAAAGAGCACAAAAACAGAUGAAGGCCACAACAUGUACAAUAGGGUCUUCAAUACAGCAGAAAAAUCCUGCAAGCUUCAGCUGCCCCC
rnacentral:lncRNA from 1 species